AAGGCUGUGCGUGAGGAAAGUCCGGGCUUCACAGGGCAGGAUAGCUGCUAACGGCAGCCGUGGGCGACCAUAGGGAAAGUGCAACAGAGAUAUACCGCCGUGACUUGUCACGGUAAGGGUGGAAAGGCGAGGUAAGAGCUCACCGGCGUGCAGGAGACUGUACGGCCCUGCAAACCCUAUCCGAAGCAACACCCGACAGGAACAAUACGGCGGCCCGUCGUGUUCCGAUGUGGUGGCUUGAGCCGUAUGGCAACAUACGGAUUAGAUAGAUUGUUGUCAAAUACAGAACUCGGCUUAUUGUUUG
rnacentral:RNase_P_RNA from 1 species